CACCAAUAUUUAAGUUUCUGUUUAGAAAGAUCCAGAAACAAAUUAUGUAUUAUGGCUUAUAGCUAGAGGAAGCAGUUCCUGUUUGCUAGUGAUAUCAAGAUAAAACAGAUUUUUAUAAUAACAUUUGAAUAAAUAGCCUAAUUACUCUAAAAAUAUGACAGAGAAGCCCUGUAAGAGAUUCUUAUUUUAUAUUACAAGUAAAAUAAGAAUCUCAGAUAUCUAUCACAAAAAAAGAUACUAUUCAUCAUUGCAAAUGACUCUACUUCAUUUUUUUUUCCUCAGCUUCAAAUUCACACUUGACUAACGUUGAGAAAAAAAAGCCAGAUAUUUGUCUGUGAUGGUGAAUUGUGAAUUUGAGAAAUGAAUGAACAUGAACAUAGGGAAACCACUUCAUUUAUUUAGAGUUUGAUCUUCAUUUGUCAAAGCUGUUCUAGGUAGUUUCAAGUACAACAUUAGGAUCUUCCUGCUUUGGAAUAUGAAGGGUAUUGAAUAGAAAUGAAUUCUUGUAAACAGCUCCCUUCCAGCCUUUUUAGUUUCAGAGUCUACUCCAACAGGAUGGAUUUGCAAGGUAUGAGAAAGAUAUGGACUGACUUCUUUUCCUUCCCUGCUUCACUAAUAGUAAAUAUGGCCUCUUUUCCUUCCCAGAUCCUAGUUGCAGCUCCCAGCCAUUCCCUUCUCUCCCUUUCCUUGCUUCCAGCACUUCAAGACUGUAACCCUAGCUGCUAUAUUUCCUUCCUUUCUUUAGCAAAUAUGAACAUAGAAAAUGCUUUAGGUAGGGUUGGUUGCAUAUUAUAAAGUCAAAAUAGAAAGUAAAUGGAGUGGUCAGUUCAGGUAAUUACUUGUUUUAAUGUAGUAUUCGUCAUGAGAAAAAUUACUUGUACUUUCUUUGUCCUUCGUUUUCAUUGAGUCUCAGAUCCUUGGUAUAAAGCAGAACUAAUAACACUGCCUAAUCUCAUGGAGUAUGUAUGAGUCGUAAUUAAUUAAUACAUGAAGACUGUUUAGAAAGCCGAGUUAAUAGAAAUGAGGGAAGUAGGGCUUAUUGUUGUUCACUUCUUGUAUAUGCUUUUCAAGACAUAUACACUCAUUUACCUGGCCACUGGGAAAUGUUUUAAGCAGUAUAAAGAAAAUGAAAUCAUGUUUUAUGCAUGUACAUAUCAUAUUCUGGCAAAUAUAUCUUAAAGUCACUGACAGUAUUCAGAAUAAACCUAAAAGAGUGAAACUCUUUGUUGGUAAUAUAACAAUUCCUUCAUUCUGUAGGCAACCACACUGUGUUGAUUAACAAAACAUGCUACUAAUGUGCUCCACAUAGGUUAACUGUGUACAAUAGUUCAGAUCCCUUCUGAAUUGUAAAGAUCUCUCCUGUAUGAGUUUUUUGUUUGUUUCAUUGGUUUGUUUGGUUUUGUGUUGUUUUUGUUAAUAAUUACUUUGCAGAGCAGAAAUUUCAUUUCUGUACCAUUGCUCUUUGAAAAUACAGAGCUAAUAUCUGUUUCAGUAGCAUCUAACAACUUCCUUCCCUGGGUUCAUGUAUGACCCUGUGACAAAAAUUUGACCAUAAAGAUAGAGAAAUGUUGAAAGCUGUAAAUAACAUUUGCUUAGUAAUGAAUGGGUGUGAGUUCUGAAGACAACCAAAGAAAUGAUAGGAAAAUUAUCAUAGUAGAAGUGAGUUAAAAUGGUACCUGACUGUAGCAUAAACUACAGGAAAAAAGACUGUAUUAAUAAGAAGUGGAGUUUAGUCCAGUGUCUUCUAGGAUUGUAAGCCAUGGAGAGUGCUCCAAAUUCCAAAAUGAAACCCAAACCAAAUUCAGAUUUUCUGAAUUGAUUGAUUUAUUUAUAUUUUGAAUCAAUAUGUUGGAUUAAGACUUCCGGGACAUGUAUUCAAACCCGAUCUUUGUUAUUACUGCGUAAUACUCCUGUUUUGCUUGUUUGCAUUACAAGCAAGUGUAAGAAAAAAAUAACUGCUAUUCUCCUACCACUGCCACAGUGAACUAGCAGGGUAUUAUGUUGGAGGAGAAACUGCGUCACACAAUUGGAAAAAAAAUGUUGAUUUUUCCCUUCCUCCACACCACAAUUUUAUAGAAAUGAAAGCAUUUUUUUUUCAAAGUGGAUAUUUUUUCCUUUAACUUUCUUUCACUUUCCUUUUUUUUUUUUUUUUUUCUCCAAACUAUGAAUUUAAAGAUGUAGUGACUGAGAUAUUUCCGCACCAUGAACUGCUUCAUUAUUGAAUGGUAAAAUAUCACUAACUUUCUUUAAAAUAAACUUAACCCACAAUGUCAGAAUGGUUAAUUUAGCCCCUGUAUGUGAUAUGCAAUUGUUCUGUGUUCCAGUUACCGUUUUGUUAAAUGGUAAUAAUUCUUCUGUUCUUCUGGUCAUCUAUAUUUUGUAUACUUUUUCUAGUUCUACUGAAACAUUUUUGAAGUGGCAUAGCUCUUGCUAUUUACAUCAUUUUGAGCUUUUUUUUCCCAUCUAAGUGCAACGACAUAGGACUCUUGUUUCAGUAGAUUUGGUUUUUCACCUUCAUUUUCACCUUCAUUCAUAAUUUUUAUAACAUCAUAACGUAAACUUCGUGAACCCCAUUGUGAGGAUACAAAUUUUCUGAAUAUAAGGGAAAAGAAUCUACAAUGACUUUGAUCUUUGGGGUGGGUUGCCAAGAGAAGUUGUAGAAUCUCCACAUAGAAACCCAACUGGGUAAAGACCCUAUCAACGUAAUGUAACUUGGAAGUUGUGCCUGCUUUGAGUGAGACUUUGGAACAGAGGACCUUCAGAAGUCACUUCUGAUUGAAAUUAUGAUUUUGUUGUACUUCAGUUCUUCUGCCAAUAUUUUUAGCUGUUCAACCAGUUAGUUCCCAUAAAAUCAUUAAUUUUAUGGUGGUUGGCUUGGGAAGCCGCUUAAUUGUGGGAGUGACUGCAGCUCAUUUUGAAACAUCUUGCAUUUCUACAAACAGUGCUCUGCUUCCUCUUCAUUCAUUGUUCAUUGGGUAUGGAACAAACUGGCUGCAAAGAAGUCAGGGAUAUUAAUGUUCUUUCUGUGCACAAGGAGAAAGUAUGUUCAGUCUAAUACAAUUUUAAAUUUCAUGAAAAGAAGACAAAAUAUCAAGAAGGAAGACAAAUAAAUCAUUGCUGAGAGAAUGCAGAGAGGGUGUGCCUGUUUUCCAUAAAGGGUUGAAAUCCUGAAGCUAAGUGAGCUACACUCUGAAGAUACUAGAUUUUGAAAAGCUUUUCAGCACAUUUUGAAUCAACUGUGACUGAGUUUUGCAUAAUUAAGUUGCUCAAGUGGUUCUGCAAAUCUGGGAUAACUCCUAUUAAAGAAAAAGGAUAAAAAGGAUAAAAAGGAAAAAAAAGAUGUCGUACAUUCAAAAGACAUUUCCACACUUGGGGAGAACACAGAUUAUAAGGAAACAGCUGAAUUCAGAGGUAUAAGGCAAGAAAAAGACAGAAGCACGACAGAAGAAAGUUCAGACUUUCUCCCCUCUCUUAUGUGUCUGUUUAUAUUUGAAUAUUUUUAAACAUGGAGUGUUGGGAAUGAAGAAUUGUAUUUUGAAUGAAAGAGACAUCUAAGUCCUACAAAGAAAAGAAAAGAAAACAAACAAACAAACAAAAAACAAACAUGAAAUCUUUGUUUUUCACUCUGUUCUUUCUCUUUCUUACAAUAGGAGACCAAAAGUGCUGUACAACUGGCAGAGUUGUAUCUCAGGUAUCCCCCAGUCUAAAUAAAAGUGGGAAAAAGAAGAAAACACAAGAUAUUUUGGAUACAUAUAUAUUUUUCGGAUUCUGCUAAAUAAGGAAAAACAACAAAUUUAUGUGUUGAGGCAUUCUCAAUAGGAUAUGCUGCAUGCUACAUGUAACAUUAUAUAUUACAAUUUCUCUACAAAUAAACAUUGCA